ACGGGUGAGUAAUGCGUAGGAAUCUACCUUUUAGCGGGGGACAACUCGGGGAAACUCGAGCUAAUACCGCAUACAGCCUAAGGGUGAAAGCGUGGGACAGGGUAACCUGCCACGCACUAGAAGAUGAGCCUACGUCGGAUUAGCUAGUUGGUAGGGUAAAGGCCUACCAAGGCGAAGAUCCGUAGCUGGUCUGAGAGGAUGACCAGCCACACUGGGACUGAGACACGGCCCAGACUCCUACGGGAGGCAGCAGUGGGGAAUAUUGGACAAUGGGGGCAACCCUGAUCCAGCAAUGCCGCGUGUGUGAAGAAGGCCUGCGGGUUGUAAAGCACUUUAGUUGGGGAAGAAGCGGUGUGUUUUAAUAAAGCACAACGUUGACGUUACCCAAAGAAUAAGCACCGGCUAACUCUGUGCCAGCAGCCGCGGUAAUACAGAGGGUGCGAGCGUUAAUCGGAAUUACUGGGCGUAAAGGGUGCGUAGGUAGUGUGUUAAGUUGUAUGUGAAAUCCCCGGGCUUAACCUGGGAACUGCAUAUGAUACUGAUAGACUAGAGUCGAGUAGAGGGAAGUGGAAUUU
rnacentral:rRNA from 1 species